ensembl:piRNA 21ur-1987 ncRNA
UUCCUACGAAUUAUUUAUUAU